rnacentral:rRNA from 1 species
UACGUAGGGGGCGAGCGUUGUCCGGAAUGACUGGGCGUAAAGGGCGUGUAGGCGGCUUUAUAAGUCUGGAGUGAAAGUCCUGCAUUCAAUGUGGGAAUUGCUUUGGAGACUGUAGAGCUUGAGUACUACAGGGGAGACUGGAGUUCCUGGUGUAGCGGUGAAAUGCGUAGAGAUUAGGAAGAACACCAGUGGCGAAGGCGAUUCUCUGGACUGUAACUGACGCUGAGGCUCGAAAGCGUGGGGAGCAAACAGGAUUAGAUA